UACGUAGGUGGCGAGCGUUGUCCGGAUUUACUGGGCGUAAAGGGAGCGUAGGCGGAUUUUUAAGUGAGAUGUGAAAUACUCGGGCUCAACUUGAGUGCUGCAUUUCAAACUGGAAGUCUAGAGUGCAGGAGAGGAGAAUGGAAUUCCUAGUGUAGCGGUGAAAUGCGUAGAGAUUAGGAAGAAUACCAGUGGCGAAGGCGAUUCUCUGGACUGUAACUGACGCUGAGGCUCGAAAGCGUGGGGAGCAAACAGG
rnacentral:rRNA from 1 species